CUCAUCUCUUGGACUCGCUUGCUAUUCCCGAAAAGGGGGAAAGGAUUUGGGGGGGACAAUCGCGGAGCCUCUCGCUGGCUUUAGGGAGAGAGGGCUGGGGUAGAGGAGAGCCCCAGGGAGCAGGCAGAGGUGGGUUGGCUAGGGCCUUGUGUGACUUGGGCUGAGAAACUUCACUUAUUCCCUGGCGCUGGCAGUUGUCAAACUGGGUCUUGUAGAUGCUAAGUCUCCAUAGAGGUAUCGUAGGUGUUCAAGAUGAAGGAGAAGGCUCUCAUUAACAUGGCCUCACAAGAGAACCAGACUUCAGGGAGAGGAGAGCAGAAGGAUAUUCUUUCUGGGAGCCCUGAGCCCAUCUAACCUCCAGUUCGUCCAUCAACUGAUUACUGCUCAGUCACCUCAGAUGAUACCACUGGGAGCCAGAGAACUGCCUAGCUGUGCCCUGCCUGAAUGUCUGACUCAUCACUCAUGGUGGAUGACCUUUUUCCUGAAGAAACUGCUGCAGAAUGAAAGCUCCAGGCGCUUGGGUGCAGCAAGUAGGCUAUGCAUUUCCCACCAGCAGGAAUCUAGCUCCUGGCCAAGGAAAUCAUACGUGAUGUGUAGGGAAGUGUGUGGGGCAGUGGAAGGAAUGUGGACCGUUGCCUCCCUUCGCUUGUCUGGAUGACCUUGGAUGAGGCCUCAAUCCUGGUAGUCACCUGGACUCCUCCUGAAUUUCCCGCAUGUCCUGCAGCAGUGACCCCAUCUGACAUGUUGUGUGGCUGGCUGUCCCCCAGUGAAAUCAUAGCCCUGGAGGGCAGGGUGUGUUUCUUCGUUUUCCUGCCUGGUGUGUGGAGACCCUGUGUGACCGUGGCGCAGAUCAGGAGCUCGGUGAGUUUAAGAGAAAACAACGAUUCCUACACUCACUGCCUUAAGUCAGAAUCUUUUCUCUCUGGGCCUGCCUCUCCCAUUAGCCCUGGGCUGUUCGCAGCCACAGACCCCUCUGAGCCACUUCUGUGUUUCCAGGGCUGGCCACCAGCAGGGGCUCAGGAAUGUUUCUUGAACUAAGUUGAACAGAUCUGAGCAGCUGGGAUGUCAACAGGUGAACCUGGAUGGGGGGAGAUAGGUCAGGCUUGGUGCCCAUCAGGCCCAGGGCCAGCACAAGUCACUUACCUGGGAGGUGAAGGAGAGGAGCAGGGAGAGCAGGCA
rnacentral:lncRNA from 1 species